UACCCAUUAAAAGUUCGAGUUCGGAUCGGGUCCAAGUCAAGUAUGAAUAUAAAGUAUCCGAAUUCAUACCCGAAACUUUAAUGGACAUAUUUUUUUUACCCGUAUACUAUCCAUUUAUUAUCGGAUCCAGUUCGGGUCUAGAUAGGGUCCGGAUUGGAUAUGGUAUAUCGGGUAUUUUGGACAGCUUUACACAAAUGUUACGUGAAAAGGAU
rnacentral:lncRNA from 1 species